ACAUCUCCCCCCCGCCCGCUUAUUUAUUUAUUUUUUGAGACGUAUUAACAAGUCUUCCGUGUUGACAGGUGGGAAAGGAAGGGGGGCGCGACACCCCCGAACUCGCCCAAAGCGCUGCGAGGGUGAGGACUUGGCUCCGCUGCGCGGUCCCCGAGCGCCUUGGGGACUCGCCGACCCGAGGAUGCAUGUCGGGAGGGGUGUGUGUGGCUGAGGACAACCCCCCGCCGUCACCUCCGCCCCGGCCCUGCCGAGCCGCCCCGCGAGGGUCUCCCCUCCCCGAGGGGCAGGUCCCGAGUGCGGGAGUAUCUCCCGCCUGCCCGCGGGGCCGCGGCGCGGGGCAGCCCCGGGUGAGGGGCCGGGGGCCGCAGCAGCAUUCUCCGCUCCUCUCCCCGCCCGAAGCGGCGCGGCAGGAGGCUCCCGGCCGGGGGCGGUGGUUGCGGGGGGAGGACCGAGGCUGGAAAGGUGCGUGCUCGGAUUGCCGGAGCGCCGGUCUCGACCCGUGCGUACCGACAUGAAGCUGCCAUUUGUGACCAGCGUAUGAUUUAUUCCGCUGAUCUGUUCUGCUGCCAUUGGACACUGUGAAUACAGAGCACAUCAAGAAUUGUGUGAAACCUGACUACAAAGUUAUGCAGCUUCUCAGGUGUUAAAAAAAUGGGAAGGAGAAAGCAAGGAAAUGAUCAUUACAGUUUAAACUACAAAGAAGAUAGAAGGCACGUCAGCAGGGUCGGGAUGAAGCUAGUGCCAUAUGUGAAACCAACCAGUGCAUCCAAAACAUUUUUGCAACACUGAUGAAUACCCUGGCUAUGUGGAGAUUACAGUACAGAGAGAAGUUCCCAUGAGGGUAAAUUGGACAAGACUGUAUGCUGGGAAAGAAGCUCCAUCAGAGAAAAGUUGCCUGGGGCGCUGCAACUACUGAGAUGGAGCAAAGCUAUCACCCUUGCUGGACUCAACGGCUGUGUGCGUAUGGUGCUGCACUUGGGAACUUUGAACUGUCUGUGGCAUGAAGAGGGGAGGAGAGUAAGACACGCUGCAUAUAUUGAAGAAAGCAGAUUCAUUUGCCACAGUCAAAUUUUUAUGGCUUUUUUUUAAACCAACCUCCUUUAAGAAAGGCUGGAAAAACAGGUAGGCUUCAUGGCAUGAUUUUAAGACUUAGCAAAUUCAGUGCUGUUGAACUGUAGAGGUAGCAAGAUCAAGGACUCUUUGUUGAAAAAAAUCUGCAAAGAGUCAUCACAACUAGUCAUCUCCAAUUAUAAAAUAGAAUUACCACCUAUCUAAAAUGUGGACUUAUUCCAAGGAAGCAGAAGUUUUCUUGGUGUCAUCUAGGAACUUAUCAUAUGUGUUUAGUGGGGGAGUGGGAGAAAGAAUAUUUAUUACCCAGUUAUUUACCAGGAAAUGUUUAUUAUAGUCAUGAAAUGUAGUAGUAUAGAUAAUUCCUUAAAAUUGAAAAGAUCUUAAAACUCUAGAAUGAGGCUUUAUUUUGCAAAAUGAAUAGAUGACUGAAUAUGCAGUGCACAGUACCACCAUUAGCUGUUAUUUAAUAAGCAAAUAUAGGCUCUAACUUAAGAUUUACUUUGGUUUAGGUGCCAUAGCAAUUUUUCUAAUUAACUAAGUGCCUGCAGCUAAUUUGUUUUAUUUUUGUUGUCUGUUUAUAGUGAAAUCAUUGUUUUCCACAGAUAGCAAAAAUAAGCAGUUCUGUGCAAAAUGAAAUAUUUGUAGUACUAAGGUAGUGACAUAAUGUAGAGAAAUAGAGGCCUAGUACAAGAGCAGAGGGCUUGAGAAGUAGAGGCACAGCAUUUGGCAUAGGGAUGGGCAUGAGGUGAUAGGGGAUGGGUCACAGGAUGCCACUUCAGGCCACAUGGUAGUAAACUCACUUGUGGUCAGUUACAGAAAUGCAGAUCUAGGCAGAACUGGUUUUAGGGAUAAAAAAAAAAAGAAAUAGUAUCUAGCUAUGCGAAAAGAGUAUCACAUAAGUAAAUUUACAUGUAAGGUGGAGAUGCAGUCCAACAAAAAACCCAUGGAGUUGUAAAAGCAAGUUAGCAAAUACAAAAGUGACGCUAAGUAAACCAUAAAGUGAAAAAGAAGAAACCAUCAACACAAACAUCAUAUAUUUGUGUCCUUCCCACUGAAGGACUCCAGAUGCUGAUAAUCACAAUAAAAAUGCCCCCACACAUCCUCCAAGAAAUUAAGCACUAAUCCUAAGAUCCAAGGAGCAGGGAAAGAGUGAGCGUAACACCAGAAAAGGGGAUAGAAACAAAGUGCAAGUUCAGCAAUUUUAAUUGCAUUGUUAUUCUGGCUUUUUCUAUUUCAAUUAAAUAAUGACUAGACUGUUAAGAUUUCAAUUAUAUUAAGUUCUUGGGUUUAUAUUUAUGUAAGGUUUGCCUGCUCUUUACACAUAAGGAUUUUGAAUAUAACAGACACUGACUGUAGUGAAGUAGAAGGAGGUAAAGCAACAGUUUAGAAAAGUCAGAACCAGACCUGUUCCGUAUGGUCUUCAUUGUGCUACUACUGUUUUGGACAGCCAGCUUAAAUUUUGGGAGUCAGAAAUAAUGUUUCUAAAAUGCUUUACUUGCGUACUAAUCUUUCCUUUUACCGUUCUUGUACUGGAAAGCAAUGGGAAAAAAAA